rnacentral:rRNA from 1 species
GAUGAACGCUGGCGGCGUGCCUAAUACAUGCAAGUCGAGCGAACAGACGAGGAGCUUGCUCCUCUGACGUUAGCGGCGGACGGGUGAGUAACACGUGGAUAACCUACCUAUAAGACUGGGAUAACUUCGGGAAACCGGCGCUAAUACCGGAUAAUAUAUUGAACCGCAUGGUUCAAUAGUGAAAGACGGUUUUGCUGUCUCUUAUAGCUGGAUCCGCGCCGCAUUAGCUAGUUGGUAAGGUAACGGCUUACCAAGGCAACGAUGCGUAGCCGACCUGAGAGAGUGAUCGGCCACACGGGAGCUGAGACACGGUCCAGACUCCUACGGGAGGCAGCAGUAGGGAACCGUCCGCAAUGGGCGAAAGCCUGGCGGAGCAACGCCGCGUGAGUGAUGAAGGUCUUCGGAUCGUAAAACUCUGUUAUUGGGGAAGAACAAAUGUGUAAGUAACUAUGCACGGCUUGACGGUACCUGAUCAGAAAGCCACGGCUAACUACGUG